AACGAACGCUGGCGGCAUGCCUAACACAUGCAAGUCGAACGAGACCUUCGGGUCUAGUGGCGCACGGGUUCGUAACGCGUGGGAACCUGCCCUUAGGUUCGGAAUAACUCCCCGAAAGGGGUGCUAAUACCGGAUAAUGUCUUCGGACCAAAGAUUUAUCGCCUUUGGAUGGGCCCGCGUUGGUUUAGCUAGUUGGUAGGGUAAAAGCCUACCAAGGCGACGAUCCAUAGCUGGUCUGAGAGGAUGAUCAGCCACACUGGGACUGAGACACGGCCCAGACUCCUACGGGAGGCAGCAGUGGGGAAUAGUGGACAAUGGGCGAAAGCCUGAUCCAGCAAUGCCGCGUGAGUGAUGAAGGCCUUAGGGUUGUAAAGCUCUUUUACCCGGGAUGAUAAUGACAGUACCGGGAGAAUAAGCUCCGGCUAACUCCGUG
rnacentral:rRNA from 1 species